rfam:Prevotella ruminicola 23, complete genome.
AUUAAAUAUUCGGGGUGCUGAGGCAUGUGCCAAAGCUGAGAAAAUACCCAUAGAACCUGAUACGGGUAAUGCCGUCGGAGGAAUGCAAUAUGAAAGUAAGGAU